GACGUACUCCCUCCGUUCGAAAUUAUUUGUCUUAAAAAUGGAUAUAUCUAGAACUAAAUAUAUCUAGAUACAUUCAUUUGUAUGACAAGUAAUUCCGAACGGAGGAAGUACGAG
rnacentral:pre_miRNA from 1 species